rnacentral:misc_RNA from 1 species
AGGAAGCCUUCGCUGCCGUCGCCGCCGCCAUCGCCACUGCCGCGACACAGGAAGACUCCUUCCCCCCAGUCUCUCAGAUGAUCCUGGCCGCAAUCUCGAAGCUGGAUGGCCCUAGCGGAUCCACCAAGUCGGAAAUCUUCAAGUUCAUCAGGACGACGUACUGCCGUCUCCCGCCGCAUAUUGACUCCCAACUGGAAUCUGAGCUCGCCUCCAUGAAGGAAUCCGGUGAGGUAAUUAAGUUUGG